rnacentral:lncRNA from 1 species
UUGUGAGUACCACAAGGCCCGGCUGAACACGUUGAUACAACUUCUGUGUUUGUGGAGCCAAAAAUGCCUUCGCUACGACAAGUUAAAAACAUGUCCAGUUUGUGUUUCCUCUGAAAAUCCUCCUCUCAGGUUUACAUUGGAGUCAAUGGAGAAAUCUGGGGGAUGUCUGCGGCAGUUGGUGUCUGCCCAGGCCACUGUUUGUGUCCUACAGCUUUGAUUUUUUGGAAGAAGAGUGACAGCGAGUUUUGCCAUCACUGUACCAAAUUUUAUCUGUGUAGAGCGAAGUGAGUUGCCACAAUCCUUUUGUAAAGACAAAGUUUUGAGGUUAAAUUUUCAGCCCCUCUCACUCUAGCUGUGAGGUCACCCACUCUAGCGGCCAACAUUCCGUGCAAUACACACUAAUGUUAAAACCUGAACAGGUUAGAAAAUCUUUGGCCUUUUGGAACUGUCACUGUGAGAAUAGUAUGAAUGCCAUGAAGAUGGUGAAUGAAUGAGUGAAUGUCUGAAGAUGUGUGAAUAUUUUAAAGUUUGAAUGAAGUUUCUAGGUGAAAGCAUGAAUGAAUGAGAAGAGGUUGAAGUUGACUACAUCUGAAAGCCUUUUCCCAUUGAAUCCCAUUAUAACGAAGUUUUAAACAAAUCUUAAUAUUUUGAAAAGUACAAAUGGGAUUAAAAAUGUUGAAGAUGUGGAAUAAUGCUGACGAAUUUGUGAAUAUUUUGGUUUUUGAAUGAAGUUUCUACGUGGAAGUAUAGAGUAGUUGAAGGCUUUUGAAGUUGUGUGAAGAAAAUGUGAGAAAAGGGACAAUUUGAACAUUCCGUAAUGCAUUUCCAAUGGGAGAAAUCGGUCGGAAAACCUGGAAUAUCUCGGAAAGUAUGAAUGUUAGGAAAUUUUUGAAUACAAGCCGGAAUCUCCUGAAUGAGACGAAUCUUUUGAAGUUUGAAUGGUUUGAAUACGUUGAAGUAUGUGGAAGGAGAAGCGGUCCAAAAAACGGCGGAAUAAUAAUAAUAACUAGAAAAUGCAAUUUCUGAAGAAAUUGCGAGUGGGAUUGCUUCAGUUGAAAUUGCUAUCGCUAAGCUGCUAUUGCGAAUGGAUGAAUUUUAAAAAUUAGUGAAAGGUCAAAAGGUAUGAAGUAUCAGGAAGAUUUGAAUCAGUUUGAAUAAACUCUGUUGAAUGAAUUGAAUAAUGCAUGAAUAAUAAUUUUAAAAAUUCAACAUGUGAAAAUUAAAAUGAUUAAAAACCCUGAAGUAUGGGAAAGGCUUGAAGAAUCAAUAAGGUUUGAAUCAGUUCAAAUGAGUUGAAAUUUGCUUGAAAGAACUGAAUAAUGCAUGAAGAGUAAAAAAUAUUUAAAACUGGAAAAUUAAAAGGUUACAAAUCCGGAAGAAAAAGAGGUUUGAAGAAUCAAAACGGUUUAAAUCAGUUUGAAGAACUAAAUUAUGCAUUUUCAAUGAAUGAUUGAAAAAUGGGGACAAUGUAAAUGAAUAAAAAUCCUGAUUAGACCCCAUAAGGUUUUAAAUGUUACCCCCCGUACUCUGUGUACUGAGCCUGGCUUCAUGUGUCUCAUAUGGCUGUUAGAAGCAGCUUUCCAGCCAGCUGUGUGUCUCCAGGUGCUCCCUUUGGUUGCCAUGGUGACGAUAGAUGCUUAACAACAGCAGGAGAAAGGAGGCUUGAGGCUGAGAACGUAAUGCCCAAACAACGUCAAAUUUCUCAUCCUCUGUAACUGCUAUCUUCAUUAUCAGGAGCUUGUGAGAACCACAAGACCCGGCUGAACACGUUGAUACAACUUCUGUGUCUGUGGAGCCAAAAAUGCCUUCACUACGACGAGUUAAAAACAUGUCCAGUUCAUGUUUCCUCUGAAAAUCCUCCUCUCAGGUUUAUAUUGGAGUCAAUGGAGAAAGCUGGAGAAAUCUGGGGGAUGUCUGCGGCAGUUGGUGUCUGCCCAGGCCACUGUGUGUGUCCUAUGGCUUUGAUUUUUGAGAUGAAGAGUGACAGCAAGUUUUGCCAUCACUGUACCAAUUUUUAUCUGUGUAGAGCGAAGUGAGUUGCCACAAUCCUUUUGUAAAGACAAAGUUUUGAGGAUCAAUUUUCAGCCCCUCUCACUCUAGCUGUGAGGUCACCCACUCUAGCGGCCAACAUUCCGUGCAAUACACACUAAUGUUAAAACCUGAACAGGUCUGAAAAUCUUUGGACUUUUUGAACUGUCACUGUGAGAAAAGUAUGAAUGCCAUGAAGAUGGUGAAUGAAUGAGUGAAUGUCUGAAGAUGUGUGAAUAUUUUAAAGUUUGAAUGAAGUUUCUAGGUGAAAGUAUGAAUGAAUGAGAAGAGGUUGAAGUUGACUACGUCUGAAGCCCUUUUCCCAUUGAAUCCCAUUAUAACGAAGUUUUAAACAAAUCUUAAUAUUUUGAAAAGUACAAAUGGGAUUAAAAAUGUUGAAGAUGUGGAAUAAUGCUGACGAAUUUGUGAAUAUUUUGGUUUUUGAAUAAAGUUUCUACGUGGAAGUAUAGCGGAGUUGAAGGCUUUUGAAGUUUGAAGCCAAUUUGAACAUUCCGUAAUGCAUUUCUAAUGGGAGAAAUCGGUCGGAAAACCUGGAAUAUCUCGGAAAGUAUGAAUGUUCGGAAAAUUUUGAAUACACCCCUGAAUCUCCUCAAUGAGAUGAAUCUUUUGAAGUUUGAAUGGUUUGAAUACGUUGAAGUAUGUGGAAGUAGUUGAGGUCCAAAAAACGGUGGAAGUUGAUAUAAUAAGAAUAACUAGAAAAUGCAAUUUCUGAAGAAAUUGCGAGUGGGAUUGCUUCAGUUGAAAUUGCUAUCACUACGCUGCUAUUGCGAAUGGCUGAAUUUUAAAAUAUGUGAAAGGUCAAAAGGUAUAAAGUAUCGGGAAGAUUUGAAUCAAUUGGAAUAAACUCAAUUGAAUGAUUUGAAUAAUGCAUGAAUAAUAAUUUAGAAAAUUCAAUGUGUGAAAGUUAAAAUGAUUAAAAACCCUGAAGUAUGGGAAAGGCUUGAAGAAUCAAUAAGGUUUGAAUCAGUUUAAAUGAGCUGUAAUUUGUUUGAAAGAACUGAAUAAUGCAUUAAGAGUAAAAAAUGAUUUAAAACUGGAAAAUAAAAAGGUUACAAAUCUGGAAGAAAAAGAGGUUUGAAGAAUCAAAACGGUAUAAAUCAGUUUGAAGGAGUUUAAAUUAGUUUGAAGAGUUAAAUAAUGCAUUUUCAAUGAAUGAUUGAAAAAUGGGGACAAUGUAAAUGAAUAAAAAUCCUGAUUAGACCCCAUAAUGUCCUCAAUGAGCUGAAUUUAUUAAGCCCUGGAUGGUUUCUGUAGCUCAAGGUUUGUGCGAAGAGGUAGAUGACAAAGUUCGUCAAAUAACGCUAUUGAAGGGUUUUAAAUGUCACCCCCAGUACUCUGAGUACUGAGCCUGGCUUCAUGUGUCUCAUAUGGCUGUUAGAAGCAGCUUUCCAGCCAGCUGUGUGUCUCCAGGUGCUCUUAUUGGUUGCCAUGGUGACGAUAGAUGCUUAACAACAGCAGGAGAAAGGAGGCUUGAGGCUGAGAAUGUAAUGCCCAAACAACGUCAUAUUUCUCAUCCUCUGUAACUGCUAUCUUCAUGAUAAUGAGCUUGUGAGAACCACAAGACCCGGCUGAACACGUUGAUACAACUUCUGUGUCUGUGGAGCCAAAAAUGCCUUCACUACGACGAGUUAAAAACAUGUCCAGUUUGUGUUUCCCCUGAAAAUCCUCCUCUCAGGUUUAUAUUGGAGUCAAUGAAGAAAGCUGGAGAAAUCUGGGGGAUGUCUGCGGCAGUUGGUGUCUGCCCAGGCCACUGUGUGUGUCCUAUGGCUUUGAUUUUUGACAUGAAGAGUGACAGCAAGUUUUGCCAUCACUGUACCAAUUUUUAUCUGUGUAGAGCCAAGUGAGUUGCCACAAUCCUUUUGUAAAGACAAAGUUUUGAGGAUCAAUUUUCAGCCUGUCUCACUCUAGCUG